AUUGAACGCUGGCGGCAUGCUUUACACAUGCAAGUCGAACGGUAACAGGCCGCAAGGUGCUGACGAGUGGCGAACGGGUGAGUAAUGCAUCGGAACGUGCCCAGUCCUUGGGGAUAACUACUCGACAGAGUAGCUAAUACCGCAUACGAUCUAUGGAUGAAAGCGGGGGUCCGUAAGGCCUCGCGUGAUUGGAGCGGCCGAUGUCAGAUUAGUUAGUUGGUGGGGUAAAGGCUCACCCAGACAACGAUCUGUAGCUGAUCUGUGAGGACGACCAGCCACACUAGAACUGAGCCACGGCCCAGACUCCUACGGGAGGCAGCAGUGGGGAAUUUUAGACAAUGGGCGCAAGCCUGAUCCAGCAAUGCCGCGUGUAGGAAGAAGGCCUUCGGGUUGUAAACUGCUUUUGUACGGAACGAAACGGCUCUGGUUAAUACCCGGGGCUAAUGACGGUACCGUAAGAAUAAGCACCGGCUAACUACGUG
rnacentral:rRNA from 1 species